AGUGAACGCUGGCGGUAGGCCUAACACAUGCAAGUCGAACGGCAGCACAGUAAGAGCUUGCUCUUACGGGUGGCGAGUGGCGGACGGGUGAGGAAUACAUCGGAAUCUACUUUUUCGUGGGGGAUAACGUAGGGAAACUUACGCUAAUACCGCAUACGUCCUACGGGUGAAAGCCGGGGAUCUUCGGACCUUGCGCGAUUGAAUGAGCCGAUGUCGGAUUAGCUAGUUGGCGGGGUAAAGGCCCACCAAGGCGACGAUCCGUAGCUGGUCUGAGAGGAUGAUCAGCCACACUGGAACUGAGACACGGUCCAGACUCCUACGGGAGGCAGCAGUGGGGAAUAUUGGACAAUGGGCGCAAGCCUGAUCCAGCCAUACCGCGUGGGUGAAGAAGGCCUUCGGGUUGUAAAGCCCUUUUGUUGGGAAAGAAAAGCAGCAGGUUAAUACCCCGCUGUUCUGACGGUACCCAAAGAAUAAGCACCGGCUAACUUCGUG
rnacentral:rRNA from 1 species